CAGAUUUAGUCAUAUUUACUAAAUAAUUUCAAAGACAAGGAAAAAUUGUCAGCGCUAGAUGUCCUGGAUGGAGACAUGGGAAAAUGGCCUUUUUUCCUAGUGUCCAGGAGCUCAACUGUUACAGAAUUCAUCUGGAACGUGGCAAGUCUGAGAUCCUCCUGCCUGGAAGAAUUUCAUUUUAAGUUUCUAACCUUCCUAACCAGCAGGUACCGUGAUAUUAUGGCAGUGGCAGAGGCAGAAUCGGCUCCAGUUGUAAGAAGUUCUCUGUGUGCUGGAGAAAGUUGCCCCAGUCUGAGGAUGCUCAGCCAAUCUUCUAUAUAGGAGGCUACUAAGAGGUGGACGUGGCUCUUUGAACAGCAAGAUACAUACAUGCUGCAACAUACAGUGGUGAUGAAGCACUCUCCAGAAAGACAGAUAAGGAUUUAAAUUUAAAUUUCAGUUCCCUGGAUGGAAGAAACUGUGAACUGAAGUACCCUUCCUCUUCAGUGGAGAAUCCUAGGCAUUUUAUGGAAAUAGCAGAGCUGUGACUUACCAGCAGUUCAACCAGCAGUCAAGCAAGGGAUGGAGCUCAGUUCUUCAAUGUUUAUCCAGUAAUGUAUCUGCUAGAUGGCUUUUCUUGGUAAUACUUGGUCUGAGACCAGCUAGCAUCUGCAGCAGUUUUCAGCAGACAAUUUUUUGGCCAAAUUAGAGUCAAUGACUUACGAGUGAGAACUUUUUUAUUCCAUAGUAGAGCAGAAGGCAUUAUUUCCUGGGAACUGCAGCCUGCCCAUUUAUUUAGUGUGUUUACUUGGAUUUUGUAUUGAGGUAGAAGAGGCAUUUCAAUUUGGUGGUAUAUCUGUGGUAUCUUAUGUUGAACUCUUGAAAAUUGUUUAAUCAUUUACUAGUCAUGCUUUGUGUCUUGUUAAAGAUGACAAGUUUUAAUAGCUCAUAAUCAAAAGACAAAAAUUAAGUUAAUAUUGAUAGUUUCUUGGCAUCAUAAGGUCUCUACCUAAUUGAAGAAACAUUUUGAAUAUUCAGUGGAAUCUUAAUAACUUGCCUAAAUGGUUGGAAGAUUCAGAGAAAAUUUGAGUCCUAGAUGUUACUGAGAAAAAGUUUAUUUGGGAAUAAAUUUUCUGAGAUAAAAUUGGGAGACUGCUCUCUCUUUUCCGCUUCUCUUUUCCAUUAUUUUCAGGGACAGAUAAUCUAAAGUGGA